rnacentral:rRNA from 1 species
UACAGAGACUGCAAGCGUUAUUCGGAUUCACUGGGCGUAAAGGGUGCGCAGGCGGCCAAGUGUGUUAGGCGUGAAAGCCCGGGGCUUAACCCCGGAAUUGCACCUAAAACUACAUGGCUAGAGCAUUGGAGAGGGUAGCGGAAUUCACGGUGUAGCAGUGAAAUGCGUAGAUAUCAGGAGGAAUACCGGUGGCGAAGGCGGCUAUCUGGCCAUGUACUGACGCUGAGACACGAAAGCAUGGGGAGCAAACAGG